AAAACUCUAAGCGGUGGAUCACUCGGCUCAUGGGUCGAUGAAGAACGCAGCAAACUGUGCGUCAUCGUGUGAACUGCAGGACACAUGAACAUCGACAUUUUGAACGCAUAUCGCAGUCCAUGCUGUUAUGUACUUUAAUUAAUUUUAUAGUGCUGCUUGGACUACAUAUGGUUGAGGGUUGUAAGACUAUGCUAAUUAAGUUGCUUAUAAAUUUUUAUAAGCAUAUGGUAUAUUAUUGGAUAAAUAUAAUAAUUUUUAUUCAUAAUAUUAAAAAAUAAAUGAAAAACAUUAUCUCACAUUUGAAUGUGAAAAACGAAGAGAAAUAUUUUCUUUUUCAAUCAAAUAAUACUGAGAAAUGUCUAGCAUAAAAAAUUGAAAUAUUUUUCAUCUAGAAUUGUCUCUUAUUAAUGAUUCGGAAAUAGAAAAAUCUUGGUUAUGUUAUUAUUCUUCGUUGGUUCGUUAAAAAUGGAUAAAUAAAAACUUUGCAUACAAGAAUUAAUAAAAAUGUUAUAACGAAUUUAAUUAAAUGUUUUAUCAUUAUAUAUAAAGAAUUUAUGGCAAGAUAAAGUUAUAUACAACCUCAACUCAUAUGGGACUACCCCCUGAAUUUAAGCAUAUUAAUUAGGGGAGGAAAAUAAACUAACAAGGAUUUUCUUAGUAGCGGCGAGCGAAAAGAAAACAGUUCAGCACUAAGUCACUUUGUCUAUAUGGCAAAUGUGAGAUGCAGUGUAUGGAGCGUCAAUAUUCUAGUAUGAGAAAUUAACGAUUUAAGUCCUUCUUAAAUGAGGCCAUUUACCCAUAGAGGGUGCCAGGCCCGUAUAACGUUAAUGAUUACUAGAUGAUGUUUCCAAAGAGUCGUGUUGCUUGAUAGUGCAGCACUAAGUGGGUGGUAAACUCCAUCUAAAACUAAAUAUAACCAUGAGACCGAUAGUAAACAAGUACCGUGAGGGAAAGUUGAAAAGAACUCUGAAUAGAGAGUUAAACAGUACGUGAAACUGCUUAGAGGUUAAGCCCGAUGAACCUGAAUAUCCGUUAUGGAAAAUUCAUCAUUAAAAUUGUAAUAUUUAAAUAAUAUUAUGAGAAUAGUGUGCAUUUUUUCCAUAUAAGGACAUUGUAAUCUAUUAGCAUAUACCAAAUUUAUCAUAAAAUAUAACUUAUAGUUUAUUCCAAUUAAAUUGCUUGCAUUUUAACACAGAAUAAAUGUUAUUAAUUUGAUAAAGUGCUGAUAGAUUUAUAUGAUUACAGUGCGUUAAUUUUUCGGAAUUAUAUAAUGGCAUAAUUAUCAUUGAUUUUUGUGUUUAUUAUAUGCACUUGUAUGAUUAACAAUGCGAAAGAUUCAGGAUACCUUCGGGACCCGUCUUGAAACACGGACCAAGGAGUCUAACAUAUGUGCAAGUUAUUGGGAUAUAAACCUAAUAGCGUAAUUAACUUGACUAAUAAUGGGAUUAGUUUUUUAGCUAUUUAUAGCUAAUUAACACAAUCCCGGGGCGUUCUAUAUAGUUAUGUAUAAUGUAUAUUUAUAUUAUUUAUGCCUCUAACUGGAACGUACCUUGAGCAUAUAUGCUGUGACCCGAAAGAUGGUGAACUAUACUUGAUCAGGUUGAAGUCAGGGGAAACCCUGAUGGAAGACCGAAACAGUUCUGACGUGCAAAUCGAUUGUCAGAAUUGAGUAUAGGGGCGAAAGACCAAUCGAACCAUCUAGUAGCUGGUUCCUUCCGAAGUUUCCCUCAGGAUAGCUGGUGCAUUUUAAUAUUAUAUAAAAUAAUCUUAUCUGGUAAAGCGAAUGAUUAGAGGCCUUAGGGUCGAAACGAUCUUAACCUAUUCUCAAACUUUAAAUGGGUAAGAACCUUAACUUUCUUGAUAUGAAGUUCAAGGUUAUGAUAUAAUGUGCCCAGUGGGCCACUUUUGGUAAGCAGAACUGGCGCUGUGGGAUGAACCAAACGUAAUGUUACGGUGCCCAAAUUAACAACUCAUGCAGAUACCAUGAAAGGCGUUGGUUGCUUAAAACAGCAGGACGGUGAUCAUGGAAGUCGAAAUCCGCUAAGGAGUGUGUAACAACUCACCUGCCGAAGCAACUAGCCCUUAAAAUGGAUGGCGCUUAAGUUGUAUACCUAUACAUUACCGCUAAAGUAGAUGAUUUAUAUUACUUGUGAUAUAAAUUUUGAAACUUUAGUGAGUAGGAAGGUACAAUGGUAUGCGUAGAAGUGUUUGGCGUAAGCCUGCAUGGAGCUGCCAUUGGUACAGAUCUUGGUGGUAGUAGCAAAUAAUCGAAUGAGACCUUGGAGGACUGAAGUGGAGAAGGGUUUCGUGUGAACAGUGGUUGAUCACGAGUUAGUCGGUCCUAAGUUCAAGGCGAAAGCCGAAAAUUUUCAAGUAAAACAAAAAUGCCUAACUAUAUAAACAAAGCGAAUUAUAAUACACUUGAAUAAUUUUGAACGAAAGGGAAUACGGUUCCAAUUCCGUAACCUGUUGAGUAUCCGUUUGUUAUUAAAUAUGGGCCUCGUGCUCAUCCUGGCAACAGGAACGACCAUAAAGAAGCCGUCGAGAGAUAUCGGAAGAGUUUUCUUUUCUGUUUUAUAGCCGUACUACCAUGGAAGUCUUUCGCAGAGAGAUAUGGUAGAUGGGCUAGAAGAGCAUGACAUGAAGAGCUAAGACAGAGGGGCGAUUAUAAGGAGAAAAUAGAGCAGAUAAGAGGGCAAUCAGCUCUCGCCCCGGAAGUUGCUAAUCUAACCAUAAGGCGCCGCCCUAGUAGAAGUGAGCAAGACCACCAA
rnacentral:rRNA from 1 species